rnacentral:rRNA from 1 species
UACAGAGGUCUCAACCGUUGUUCGGAUCCAUUGGGCGUAAAGGGUGCGUAGGCGGUCGCGUAAGUCAGGUGUGAAAUCUCAGGGCUCAACCCUGAAACUGCACUUGAUACUGCGUGGCUCGGGUACUGGAGAGGAGACUGGAAUUUACGGUGUAGCAGUGAAAUGCGUAGGUAUCGUAAGGAAGACCAGUGGCGAAGGCGAGUCUCUGGACAGUUACCGACGCUGAGGCACGAAGGUCAGGGGAGCAAACGGG